GACGAACGCUGGCGGCGUGCUUAACACAUGCAAGUCGAACGGAAAGGCCCUGCUUUUGUGGGGUGCUCGAGUGGCGAACGGGUGAGUAACGCGUGAGUAACCUGCCCUUGACUUUGGGAUAACUUCAGGAAACUGGGGCUAAUACCGGAUAGGAGCCCCUGCUGCAUGGUGGGGGUUGGAAAGUUUCGGCGGUUGGGGAUGGGCUCGCGGCUUAUCAGCUUGUUGGUGGGGUAGUGGCUUACCAAGGCUUUGACGGGUAGCCGGCCUGAGAGGGUGACCGGCCACAUUGGGACUGAGAUACGGCCCAGACUCCUACGGGAGGCAGCAGUGGGGAAUAUUGCACAAUGGGCGGAAGCCUGAUGCAGCAACGCCGCGUGCGGGAUGACGGCCUUCGGGUUGUAAACCGCUUUCGCCUGUGACGAAGCGUGAGUGACGGUAAUGGGUGAAGAAGCACCGGCUAACUACGUG
rnacentral:rRNA from 1 species